rnacentral:misc_RNA from 1 species
UUUGAAUGUUAACUUUUAAAAAUAAUUCACAGUAUUUAAAAAUUAAUUUUAGUUAUAUAAGUUUUAUAGUUAUUAAAUAAUCACUGGAAUGUAUGCUAUUGUGGUUUUUGACAACGAGAUGAAAACUGAAUACAUUCCUUUCAAUUGGAUAAUCAAUAAAAUUGAACUUCAAGAAGUUUCAAUGUUGGUUAGGCAGCGUAUAGAACUAAAAUGCUACUGGCCUCCAUGGUCAAAUUCAGGCAAAGUCAGUAGAGCACAAAAGCAGUGCUCUGAACCUGAAAUAGAUUGGAAAACAUACUCUAUUCGAUUGUUAGCAGUUGCAGGUAAUAAGAAAGAAGCCUGUGAAAAGGUGACAAUUGCAGAAGAGACCUCUAAUGUCGAAGAGAACUUUACUAAGCAAAAAAGAAAAGUAAGAAAGAAAAAAAAGAUAUCUGAAAAGCUUCCUAAGCCUGUAAUACCAGAGAGACAGUCGGGGGUUUGUCAUUUUGAGAUUGAAAACAGUGGAUUGUUAACUCCUGUGGUACGCACAGAAUCGUCAGAAAAGGAAGUUCAGCACAGACAAAAUAAAACUUUUGAUUUACAGUCAGAAAGUGUUGUAAAGUCAAAAGAUAUGUCUGGUCUUCCUGGUAACACAAGUACUCCAUUGUUAAAAACGUUUGGUUACACUACAUCUGCAGAAAAAUUGUUGUUGAAAAUUUUGGCAUCUCAAGAAAAAUAAGAGAGACGCAAAAGUUGCAUUCAGCUAUGUUGCACAGCAUUCAGCAACAAAUUAAUUCAACGCAUGGCAUUACAGAGGAUGAAAUUGAAUUAAACUUACCACUUAAAACAACUGAAGAUGUCGAAGCUUUUGAAGAUAGGUUGAAAGAUGAAGAUGUUAAAAAAAAAUUGGUUCAGGUCCUUGUAAAUAAUGGUGGUAUGAAUAUAACAAAUUUUGUAAGAAGGAAUAUCAAAUUUUUAUUUUCUAAUGAACUGGCACGAAAAUAUAACCUAACUGGUCAGAAAAAUAAAAAACCAUUUCAGCCAUUGCAGCUAUUUCAAGUGCAGCAGAAAGAAACUAUGAAACAAAACAAAAUUUAUCAAAAAAGCUUCUUGAAGAAGCACUUUCCGCUUGGUUUGGUAAUGCUCGAGAGCAAACACGGAAAACAACAUAUAGAAUGUUUAAUGUACAUUGUAUAUAUAUCGAAUGCAGCAACGAACACACAUAUAUAUAUUGAUUACAUAUUUAAUAAUAGUUUAUUUUAUUUAAUAAAACAUACAU